AAACUUACAGACAAAUUAAACCCCGUUUUGAGACUGCUACAGGCAAGAACUGUUUAAGAAUACUGCAACAGGCAAAACAAGCAGUAUUCUGUUUACUAAUAAUUUACUUUAACAGGCAAAACAGAGUACUAUGAGGUGUCAGGAAUGCAUAACAUGUCCAAAGUGGGUGGCUGUAAAGACGCAAAUAACCCGAAGAGGAUUUCUCUUGUUCUCCGCGCAUGUAUGCGCAUAAACAAUGAGCAUGCGUAGUAGCAGCGUCCAUCUGCAUGCGACUGUCUUGGAC
rnacentral:lncRNA from 1 species